rnacentral:rRNA from 1 species
GCAACCCCAGGAUGGGCGGGAU